UCCAGACUCCUACGGGAGGCAGCAGUGGGGAAUAUUGCACAAUGGGGGAAACCCUGAUGCAGCGACGCCGCGUGAGUGAAGAAGUAUCUCGGUACGUAAAGCUCUAUCAGCAGGGAAGAUAAUGACGGUACCUGACCAAGAAGCCCCGGCUAACUACGUGCCAGCAGCCGCGGUAAUACGUAGGGGGCAAGCGUUAUCCGGAUUUACUGGGUGUAAAGGGAGCGUAGACGGCAGCACAAGUCUGGAGUGAAAUCCCGGGGCUUAACCCCGGAGCUGCUUUGGAAACUGUGCGGCUGGAGUGCAGGAGGGGUAAGCGGAAUUCCUAGUGUAGCGGUGAAAUGCGUAGAUAUUAGGAGGAGCACUAGUGGCGAAGGCGG
rnacentral:rRNA from 1 species